CUGCCCGGCGCCGCCUCGCCAUGGACGCGCGCGGGGGCGGCGGGCGGCCCGGGGAGAGCCCGGGCGCGACCCCCGCGCCGGGGCCGCCGCCGCCGCCGCCGCCCGCGCCCCCCCAACAGCAGCCGCCGCCGCCGCCGCCGCCCGCGCCCCCCCCGGGCCCCGGGCCCGCGCCCCCCCAGCACCCGCCCCGGGCCGAGGCGUUGCCCCCGGAGGCGGCGGAUGAGGGCGGCCCGCGGGGCCGGCUCCGCAGCCGCGACAGCUCGUGCGGCCGCCCCGGCACCCCGGGCGCGGCGAGCACGGCCAAGGGCAGCCCGAACGGCGAGUGCGGGCGCGGCGAGCCGCAGUGCAGCCCCGCG
rnacentral:lncRNA from 1 species